UACGUAGGGGGCAAGCGUUGUCCGGAAUCAUUGGGCGUAAAGAGCGUGUAGGCGGCUUGGUAAGUCCGCUGUAAAAGUCCAGGGCUCAACCCUGGAAAGCCGGUGGAAACUACCAAGCUUGAGUCCGGAAGAGGCGAGUGGAAUUCCUGGUGUAGCGGUGAAAUGCGCAGAUAUCAGGAGGAACACCAAUGGCGAAGGCAGCUCGCUGGGACGGUACUGACGCUGAGACGCGAAAGCGUGGGGAGCAAACAGG
rnacentral:rRNA from 1 species